AUCAAAGAGAAUUUCCCUUUAGCUUAGCGAUGUGUCGGAAUGGCUCUCGCAAAGAUCGGAUCGGAGAGGGGGAAAAAUAGGGGGAAGCCUUCAUCCCGGAGCGAUCCUACACGCACUUUGCAGCCGCAUUCCGCCUUCAGCCUCAGGAAAAGUUGCCCCCAAACAAGCAAAAAAAAAAAAAGAAAAAAAAAAAAGUGGCAGCCGUAGGAACUGUUUUUUUUUUUUUAAUUACUAUUUUAUUUUUAAUUAUUUUUUAAGGAAGGGAAAAAGAAAAAAAAACCAACAAAAACAACCAAACAAAACAGCCAAUGCGACCAAACCCCUUUCCGACCUCCUGCGCUCCGUUCGGAUAGCAGCUCCGGGCAGGUAUACAGAGCCGCACUAACUCGGGCUCAACGGGGAGCGACUUUUGUGCUCAGAGAACCCCCAGAUCAGCUCCCGGGAUGGAAAGGAACUGUAACUUCUGCUGCUCAGGUCUGUGGGAGGCUGGUCCCUCUUUGAACAUCUGGAGUGGUGUGUGGCUGCAUUCAUUGGAAGAGGAACCCCACGUGGAAAACCAGGGCCAGAGCUAAAGGCAGGAUUCAACUCCUCUUCACCCUUGAUGUGCUGGCCCAGCUCCAAGGAGAUGCUAAGGUAGCAGCUCAUACAACUCUGCUGGCUUUGGAAGGGAGCUUGGGAGUCCCCAGAUCCUUCUUGUUCGUGUAUUGGCUCCAGUCUCAUCACUUACAUGGAGAUUUGCUUGCAGUUGGGUUUUGCUGGAAGAUGAAGAGCAGGAAGCUCAGUAAGAAGAGCCACAUCCAAUGUUUCAGUGAGGGACUUCAGGAACCAUCGUUCUUCCCUAAAAAUGACAUGCCUAGAUUCCUCUGGCCACCCUGGGUUAUCUUCCACGUGGCCAACAGCAGUAAUUUUCUGUGAUCUAGGAAUAUCCCACUAGGCUUUCUAUUUCGCACUGUAAAUAAGUGGUUGCUUUUAACUCACUCCUUGUCAUAAUUUCACACACUCCUUGGUGUAUCAGAGCAUAAUAAAGAAGAUCAGAAGCCACAGUGCCUGACGUGGCUGCUUUACAUGUCUGCUCAAGACAGCCCUCACCAAAAUCCUUCCUUUGAAGUCAAGAGAAGAUCCACAUGGACAAUAGAUCCCCACUAUGUACGUGACCCAGCACUCAUCAAAUACAGUAACAUGCUACAGAUUACUUCUCCCCAAAUAUUUAUUGGACCCUAUGCAUUUUUGUCUUAGCUCGAUGGUGUUCAAGUCACACAACCCCCAAGGAUACAUGGAAUUUCCCAUGCUCGCUGCACUGAACUUCACAUCUAUGGUUGGGUUGGCAACCACCUCCCAGGAUGAGCUCUGGACCCAUGGAAACAUCAGUACAGCUGCAUUUGGGAGCUAAGCUAAUAUUUUCCACUUUCAGUAAUAAAGCAUGUGGCAUGAUUUCCAUCCAACACAAAACCUGCGUGCGAUCCCAUGUAUUGGCAGGACCACCAGUGGGAACUGAACUGGGUGAAGAAAGAAACCAUUUUUCCUACAUUUACCAUUUUAAUUGACUUCUCCUUUCAUUUGUUCCCCUUUGGUGCCCUCUGACUACAAACGUUCAAGUGGCUGUAGUAACCCCCAGGAAAAAAAAUAGUUGUGCUAAAUGAGAUUUUUUUUUAUGUGUGGGUGUUUAAGUAUCUGCAUGAAGCAAAUUUCUACCCUCUUCUAAUCAGAAUGGGAAGGAGACCAUGUGAGUGAUGUGACCAAUUAUGACCGAGCACCCCAGAGCAGCGUCUGAAUAUUCACGUCCAAUUGCUACUUUGGUGGAACAAUUGGUUUGAACAGUUUGAAAAGGCAAUGAUGUCAAACGUGCAGCGUGAUUAAACACGGUGAAAUUACCAGCCGUUGAGCUGAAAGAGGAGCUCUGUUCACUUCCCAGAGCGAUGCUGCUUUCAAAUUUUGCUCUGAUGGGAGCAGGAAACACCAUGCCCAGGUGGCCUUAUCCCGGAGUCCCAAAUUGCUCAGUGCAGAGGUGCAGCUGAGCUUCGGAGGUAGCAUGGACUGGGAUUUGGGAUGCGUGCAGCAAGCUAAAUGCGUCCCCUUUACCCUGACCCUAAAGUAGGCACAAUCCUGUUCCUCUGGUAGUUCAUUCUGCAAGAACACCACGCUGCAUAUGUGAUCUGAAUCGAUGCUUUUUGGGGCCAAGUAUCUGGGAGCUGAACCAUCCCAACAACAGGCAAACGCUCCGCCUUCCCCACUGGCAUCAGAUGGGAGCUCUGCUGCUUUCUGUGGACAUGGUAUCAUUGCCUUCCUCACACCUAUGUCUGCAUCAUUGAAACCGCCUAUGCCCUCCCAGAAAAUAGACCAUAAAUUCCUCCCCCCCAGCUCUCUCUUGUUUUAAAAAUGUGUAUACCACAGUACGCUGUAGUUCAGUACUAACUCCAGCUUUCUGAUAAUACAGGCUCAAGCAUUAGGAGAAAUAGCAUUUUUGUCGUGGUGCAUGGAGCACUGUGCAGUUCCCAGAUGGCAGAAGGGAGCCAUGAACACACACGGGGAGCAUAAAGUAAUGCAUCCUCAGCUUCGUGCCUUGUGCUGAGCCUCUGUCAGAGAGCGUGGGCGCCGAGACCCUAUGCCUCUGGCUGCUCCAUUUGGGGCCAGCUCCAAAAACAAUCGCCCUCCUCCUGCUCCCCAUCAGGGAAAGUGAUUGCACUUGCUUGGGUACAAAAAAAAAAAAAUGUUUUUCUUAACACAUUUGUGCAAAAUGCUUUUUAAACACGAUGCACGAGCCAUACAGGAGCAAACAGCCCUUAUAAAUCCUCCCUGAAACUGGGAAACUUUUUCUUUCUCUUUCUUCUCAUUUCCUACCCAGAGGUCUGAGCUAAUUUUCUCUAUCCAUUUUUUCUUUCUCUUUCUUCUCAUUUCCUACCCAGAGGUCUGAGCUAAUUUUCCCUAUCCAUAGGGUCCCCCCACCCCCUCAAAAAAAGGAGGGGGGGAGACUGUAUUCACUAAUUAUACAUCCUGAAAAGAAUUUGGUUCAGUGUAAGAUGAUCCUAGUGAUAUGCUAAUCCUUUUUUCUGCUUGGUGCAGCCUGAAGCCUGUGUCUAACAUUUUUUUCAACUGUAUGACAAUAAAAGUUGUGGCAACAAAAGAAAUAAAUGGGCAGCUAAAGAAGGUAUAGCUGAAACACAUGGCAGACCAGUUCUCUCCUCUCCUUCUGGCUGCUCUUUUGUAGGCUCUGGUUGGGUAUCCUCAAGUCAAUAGCCGAAAGCCAGCCACCUUAGCAACUUAGUAUGACACCCAAGCCCUCUCUCUUUACAUUCAUGAAUAGUCAGCAAGCAGCAGACAAAAUAGAACUAAUCUUUUUUGACAGAAUUGUUCAAUUUUAGAGGAAAGGCUUUUGAGGCACCUUCCAUACACUUGCAGAAUAUGAGACAACAAUGGCCACGAUCACAGUUCACAAAAGGACGACCAGGGGUGUGAGCGCACACACACGCACACAACAGCCAUUUCGGUGGAAUAUUGCAGCCAAAUUGAAGUUAUUGCAGGAUACGGUCAUUGUGGCAGGGGAAGCUGACAGGCAAAAAAAAAAUAAUAAAUAAAUGAAGCAAAAAAAACAAAACCAACAACCCUCCAUUGUUUUGUUGCUGAUUAUUAAACGUACACAUCCCGAUAAUGCGUGAUUAGGGUUAUUUGCCUUGAUUAAUAGAAGUUAAGGGAGCUGAUUAAUAUCCACUCUUUAAUUUCCUGUCAUAGGCUGAUAACUUCAUCUUUAUUUUUUUUUUCCCCUUUUUGGACCAAUGAUUCUUAUUGUGAAAUGCAUUAAAUCCAGAGGGUCCUUGCCUGCAUUUAAAGCUGGUUUUGCCAUUUCAAAAUCCUGUAACGCAGCAGCCACUCGCAAGUCUGGUGUGUGCAAAGAAGGACAUUCCUCCUUUUCCCUUCUCUCCCUUCCAUUUAAUGCAAGCCAUAUCUCUAUCUCCAAAUACACUCUGGGCAGGAAAGAGGAGAAAAUAAUAAUAAGAGGAAGAAUAAAAAUCUACCCAGUCUAUGGGCAAAAACAGAAGUUAGCAACAUGGUCCAUGCAGCUGCAACACUACAUUUAAAAUUCAGUUUACUCCUAGGAAGAGGGCUAAUCCUGCCCCUGUAAUUCCCUACAGCCAAAAUGUACCCCCCUCCCUGAGUGACAGUGCAAUGCAAAGACACUCGCACGCUUAUCUUCCCCAACCAGAUGGCCGACUUGGAUCAAUGCACACACGCCACGAUCAAUGGGAGCGAUAAAGAAUUAGGAAAACAGUGGUACAUGCUCCCAGAAAGCUUGUACACUGCAUAAUUAUUUUAUGAUUCUACACAUGGCUACAUGUGAUACUGGAGUCAAGAAGGAAAAGGAUAAUUAGAGAGCCAGAAAGCACCCGUACUGCACUACACACUUUGUCAGUCAGCAGUUCCCACUCGGCUCAAGUCACCGCCGUUAUCUUCUCUCCUGCCCUCUUGCAAAUGAAUUUCAGGAAUACGUAAAAUAUUAGGGGGAGGUGGCUUCUGGGUUACAGACACGGGAUGUGGGAGAUUACCAUGUCCUGUGAUACGACAGCAAAAGUUUUUGGCUGAGAGUCGGGGUUGGCUGUGGGCACUGGGGUGGUAUCUGAGGGGACACUGCAAUGGACGGUUUAUACAUUUGAGGGCUUUGUCAUGAGAGGGACAUGUCCAAAGCUGGAUGUCCCAUUCAUUUAAUAAAAUAUAUAUAUUACUC